AUGAAGUGUCUGUAAAUAGAAGUUUAGAAGUUUGACAGACUAUGAAAUUCCAACUCUUCGGUUAACGCGUGUAUAUGAAUUCACUAACCAUAAUCUGCAAUGAAGGGAAAUUAAAUUUGAAAGGGUUUAUAUGUACUUAAAGAAUCAAGCAAUUCAUUCACAUACCAGUUGAGUCGCCUGCCACUGUGGAGGAUAACCAACUGCCAUCUUCAUGGCCUUCUAAGAGUUGGAGGUAACAUUACAUCCAUGUCUUAGAAUUUGGUUUUAAGGGCCUAGCUCAUGCCUAUCAAACACACUUGUGAGGAAACAAGACUACAAGGGUUUUCAACACUACCGUCAUGUAAACAAGUCGACACAUUGAUUGUCUUACAAAUCACAAUCUUUGUGUUCCAGGCCAACAGAUUGUGCUUCCUUCUGCUAAGGUGGCUACUACAGUCCUGAUAAGGCACUAUGAUUAUGUUGAUGAAUUUCCAUGAGGUACUUGAAGUUCAGGUUACAAAAAGUGAGAUCAAAUGAUUUUCAUGGAGACAGAUGGAGGAAUUGAAAACUUUGAUCCAAGUGAUUCCAAUUUGGCCCGCUGGAAUUCUUGGAGUGCAUGUGAUCUAAUUGAA